rnacentral:rRNA from 1 species
GACGAACGCUGGCGGCGUGCUUAACACAUGCAAGUCAGGGGGUGGGGUAACCCAUCACCGGCGAACGGGUGCGUAACACGUGAGCGACCUGCCCUGGAGUGGGGGAUAGCCGGCCCAACGGCCGGGUAAUACCGCAUACGACGUUUUGGGGGCAUCCCUGGGACGUGAAACCCGCAAGGGACUCGAGGAGGGGCUCGCGGCCUAUCAGCUAGUUGGCGAGGUAACGGCUCACCAAGGCGAUGACGGGUAGCUGGCUGAGAGGAUGGCCAGCCACAUUGGGACUGAGAGACGGCCCAGACUCCUACGGGAGGCAGCAGUGGGGAAUCUUGCGCAAUGGCCGAAAGGCUGACGCAGCGACGCCGCGUGAGGGAUGAAGGUCUUCGGAUCGUAAACCUCUGUUGCCCGGGACGAACUCCCAUUUUGGUGGGAAUGACGGUACCGGGUGAGGAAGCACCGGCUAACUCCGUGCCAGCCGCCGCAGUAAG